rnacentral:lncRNA from 1 species
CAGGACUCUAAGGAAUAAGGAGUUAAGUAUGUGGGCAUUUUGCAAGGUCCUGAUCUUUUUUCCCUCUGUUUAAAUUAAUUUCCACCCCCUACCUCCCACUAAUCAGUUCAUGACUCUGAAGCUUCAGGUCGACUCACGAUUGCUGCUCGCCUGUCACUCCCAGGGCUACAGUCUGGCACAGGUGUUUCCAUUCCUCCUCUGUCACCUCCCGAAUCCAUCCACAGCCAUGGUUCUCCCUUGAAAGAAGAAACUGCCGCGGAGUCGCAUCUAGUCCCUUACUGUGUGAAAGUCGGUGUCUUGGCCUAACACAGAAGCAUUUUUUACUAUUUCUCUUCUAGAAGUUUGGAGUGUGCACAAGCCUCACAUCACGCUGAGAGGCGCUCUCACAGGCGGUGCCUCUGUGCAAUCUGCGGAAAAGGGUGAAGAAACUUUAUGGACAAAAGAUGGAAGGAAGCCUGGAGGAUCAAGAAACUCAGCAAACCUAUCUCCCCAGGAGGAAACUGGGAAUCUUUGAACCAUCUUGGGCUGAAUAUGAAGCAGGAAUCUGAUUGCCUUCUUGGACGCACACCAUGUUCUCAAGGACACUCUUCACCUCCAGCUAUGGCAAUGGAUACAGUACGUUGAGAGGAUACCAUGUCUGUCAGAUUCUGUAGUGACCAAUAAUGACUUUAAACACAUGCUGCCUGGAAGUAUCACAGAGAAAGCACAAGAGGCAGACAGGGAAGCUCUGUACCAGGCCACGUAGAAGAGUAUCAAAAGCUUUCAUGAUGUGUCUACACAUGUUUUGAUUCCUUAAUAGAUGAUGGCUCAGACUUCAGAAAUUGCGAUAAUCUUAUUGCAUAUUUUUACCUGCUUUUUGCUCAGCUGAUGACCUGCUUCCAAACCAAGAGUACAAAUUAUGAAUGAACACCCCAACAUUUCCUCUUCCAUCUUCACUGUACCAGGGGUCCAUUAAAAUAAUGAGUGUCCACACAGCCCCUCCUCAUUGACUUUGCGUAUGCAAUGCAAGCUAGCUGGAUUGUACCAGACAGAGUCUAUUCAUUGGAAAUCAUUAGCCAACUCGAGAGGGAAGAAAAUAGAAUAAAAAAGAAAAACACUGCCCA